rnacentral:rRNA from 1 species
AGCAAACGCUGGCGGCAGGCCUAACACAUGCAAGUCGAACGAACCCUUCGGGGUUAGUGGCGGACGGGUGAGUAACACGUGGGAACGUGCCUUUAGGCUCGGGAUAACUCAGGGAAACUUGUGCUAAUACCGAAUGUGCCCUUCGGGGGAAAGAUUUAUCGCCUUUAGAGCGGCCCGCGUCUGAUUAGCUAGUUGGUGAGGUAAUGGCUCACCAAGGCUACGAUCAGUAGCUGGUCUGAGAGGAUGACCAGCCACAUUGGGACUGAGACACGGCCCAAACUCCUACGGGAGGCAGCAGUGGGGAAUCUUGCGCAAUGGGCGAAAGCCUGACGCAGCCAUGCCGCGUGGAUGAUGAAGGUCUUAGGAUUGUAAAAUCCUUUCACCGGUGAAGAUAAUGACUGUAGCCGGAGAAGAAGCCCCGGCUAACUUCGUGCCAGCCGCCGCCGUAACAC